AUGCUCACGGGUCUGGACAUCAUUGGAGAUACCAGCCUCAAAACCACCAGUGGUGGAUUCAAUGAUAAGCACCGCGCAAUCAGCCUAGGAGGUCCCAGUGAUCAUGUUCUUGAUGAAAUCACGGUGUCCAGGAGCAUCAAUGACAGUGCAGGAGUACUUGGUGGUCUCAAACUUCCAAAGGGCAAUAUCAACAAGUCAGUGAAAUAA
rnacentral:rRNA from 1 species